rnacentral:rRNA from 1 species
GACGAACGCUGGCGGCGUGCUUAACACAUGCAAGUCGAACGGAAAGGCCCUUGCUUGCAGGGGUACUCGAGUGGCGAACGGGUGAGUAACACGCGGGUGAUCUGCCUUGUACUUCGGGAUAAGCCUGGGAAACUGGGUCUAAUACCGGAUAGGACCAUGCUUUAGUGUGUGUGGUGGAAAGUUUUUUCGGUACAAGAUGAGCCCGCGGCCUAUCAGCUUGUUGGUGGGGUAACGGCCUACCAAGGCGACGAUCAGUAGCCGGCCUGAGAGGGUGAACGGCCACAUUGGGACUGAGACACGGCCCAA